GGGGUAGAAGGUCUCCAAGCGAAAUAAUAAGUGGUACUAAAAUACAGAGGUUUCCUUAACUGUGGUGGCUCCUGAGAAAGCUCCGAAAAUUCAUGAAACCUACCCUUGUAGCAACAUUUCUUGGAGCAACUUAAAGAUUGUCUCAUGUGGGAAG